UACGUAGGGACCAAGCGUUGUUCGGAUUUACUGGGCGUAAAGGGCGCGUAGGCGGCAAUUCAAGUCAUCUGUGAAAUCUCCGGGCUUAACUCGGAACGGUCAGGUGAUACUGCUUUGCUAGAGUGCGGAAGGGGCAAUCGGAAUUCUUGGUGUAGCGGUGAAAUGCGUAGAUAUCAGGAGGAACACCGGUGGCGAAGGCGGUUCUCUGGGCAUUACCUGACGCUGAGGAGCGAAAGCGUGGGUAGCGAACAGG
rnacentral:rRNA from 1 species